rnacentral:rRNA from 1 species
CACCGGUAGCUCUAGUGGUAGCAGUUUUUAUUGGGUCUAAAGCGUCCGUAGCCGGUUUAAUAAGUCUCUGGUGAAAUCCUGUAGCUUAACUGUGGGAAUAGCUGGAGAUACUAUUAGACUUGAGACCGGGAGAGGUUAGAGGUACUCCCAGGGUAGAGGUGAAAUUCUGUAAUCCUGGGAGGACCGCCUGUUGCGAAGGCGUCUAACUGGAACGGUUCUGACGGUGAGGGACGAAAGUUAGGGGCGCGAACCGGAUUAGAUACCCGGGUAGUCCUAACUGUAAACGAUGCGGACUUGGUGUUGGGGUGGCUUUGAGCUGCUCCAGUGCCGAAGGGAAGCUGUUAAGUCCGCCGCCUGGGAAGUACGGUCGCAAGACUGAAACUUAA